rnacentral:rRNA from 1 species
UACGGGGGGGGCAAGCGUUGUUCGGAAUUACUGGGCGUAAAGGGCUCGUAGGUGGCCAACUAAGUCAGACGUGAAAUCCCUCGGCUUAACCGGGGAACUGCGUCUGAUACUGGAUGGCUUGAGUUCGGGAGAGGGAUGCGGAAUUCCAGGUGUAGCGGUGGAAUGCGUAGAGAUCUCCAAGAACACCAGUUGCGAAGGCGGCUGACUGGACCCAUAUUGACGCUGAGGCUCGAAAGCAUGGGGAGCAAACAGG